AAUGAGUUGUAGGGUGACGACGGAGAGCGUAGAAGGUGUGGAAGCGAGCCUGCUUAGAGCCUCUGUCGGUGCAGAUCUUGAGGGAAGUAGACAAUGCUUUAUUGAAAACCUAAAGGAUGUAGAAGGGCUCCCUGCGUGAACAGAAGCUGUAAGUGGGUGAGUCGGCCCUUAGGGAUUAGAGAAAUGCAUUUCGAAGUCGAGACCUUAUUGAUUUCUAAUUUUAGCCUCGAUGCCGAACGAAAGGGAAUCGAGAUAGGGGUUCCGAAACGGAUAUAGGGGUUCUGACCCCGAGUGUGGCAAGGCAAGCGAACUCGGAAGAGCCCGUGGAGGAACUGGGGAAGAGUCUUCCUAAAAGGUCGUCACUGAAAAAGAGUCAUGUGUAAAUAGAGAUUUGUUAACGUAAGCACAUCUCGUUUCUCCAGUGUGUCCCGAAUCUUUCUGCAAACCUCUGCGAAUCCAAGGGAGAGAAUAUGAUUUUCGUGCUGGUCCGUACCCAUAUCCCCAGCAGGUAUCCAAGGUGAAUAGCCCCUAUAGACAAACGUAGAUAGGGGAAGUUAGCAAGUUCGUUCCGUAACUUCGGGAUUAGGAUUGGCAAUGAGUAUCGGGCUGCUGUGGGAAGCGUGGAGUUUCACUCGUGUGGAUUGGGAGUUCCCUCCACACGUGAGGGAUGCUGCGUAGAAUACCUCAGCUAAGUGGAGAACUCGAAUUGAUCGCGCGGAACCAUACCACUUCAGCGGGCACUAGAUAACCGACUCUGAACUGGCACGUACUUGUGGAAUCCGACAGUAUAAUUAAAUCAAAGCACAGCAAUUGGUAUUAAUUCAAUGCGAUUCCUGCCCAAUGCUUUGAAGCGAAGAAAUUCAUCGAAGCUCGGCUACACAACGGGAAAAACUGCGACCCUC